AUCGCCUGGAGAAGAUCAUCAUUAAAAAAUGAAUAAACGUGCAUUAGUGCUGAUUUUGGUGGUGACACUUUUAGUUCAACAUGUUCAAGAAUCGGACGCUGGAUGGGUAAGAAGAGGAAUCAGAAAAAUUGGACAGGGAGUGCGACGCGUAGUUCGACCUGUCAGAAGAGUAAUUCGAAGACUACCUAUUCGAAGAUUCGGAAGAAUUGGAUAACCAACGUAAAACCGAAAGUGGAAGGACUUUUUCAAAGCCAAUGGAUAUCGAAAACUUUUAAAAGAAUUGACUUUUUAAUGUCUUCUAUUUGAGAUUUCACUUGUACGUUUGGAUAUUUUGUGAAAAGAAUUAUGCUUACUUUAAAUACAGUCUAAAUUGAUGAAAGUU